rnacentral:rRNA from 1 species
AGAGUUUGAUCAUGGCUCAGAACGAACGCUGGCGGCGUGCCUAACACAUGCAAGUCGAGCGGGAAAGUUCCCUUCGGGGAGCGAGUACAGCGGCGAACGGGUGAGUACAACGUAGGUAACCUACCCCCGAGACUGGGAUAACUUGUCGAAAGACGGGCUAAUACCGGAUAAGACCACGAGGGCCUCGGCCCUUGGGGUAAAAGAUGGCCUCUGCUUGCAAGCUAUCACUCGAGGAUGGGCCUGCGCGCCAUUAGCUAGUUGGUGAGGUAACGGCUCACCAAGGCGAAGAUGGCUAGCUGGUCUGAGAGGAUGGCCAGCCACACUGGGACUGAGACACGGCCCAGACUCCUACAGGAGGCAGCAGUGGGGAAUAUUGCGCAAUGGGCGAAAGCCUGACGCAGCGACGCCGCGUGGGUGAUGAAGGCCUUCGGGUCGUAAAGCCCUGUCGGGAGGGAAGAAAUCUCAUCAGCCUAAUAUGCUGGUGACUUGACGGUACCUCUUAAGGAAGCACCGGCUAACUCCGUGCCAGCAGCCGCGGUAAUACGGAGGGUGCAAGCGUUGUUCGGAAUCACUGGGCGUAAAGCGCGUGUAGGCGGCCACUUAAGUCUGAUGUGAAAGCCCUGGGCUCAACUCAGGAAGUGCAUUGGAUACUGGGUGGCUGGAGUACCGGAGAGGAGGGUGGAAUUCCUGGUGUAGCGGUGAAAUGCGUAGAUAUCAGGAGGAACACCGGUGGCGAAGGCGUCCCUCUGGCCGGAUACUGACGCUGAGACGCGAAAGCGUGGGGAGCAAACAGGAUUAGAUACCCUAGUAGUCC